CUCCGUCCAGCAGACCCACGGAGUGGGUUUCAGCGACUUCGGGCCCGCUUUUGGACCGUUUCCCGGCCCCGAACCCGAGCCGUGCUUUGGGAACAAUCGUUCCUCGCGUCGCCGCCGUCGGAUUGAUCCGAUUUGCGCGCGAUUUGGUGAGUAAUCUCACUAAUCUUGGAUUAGUUGGCUAAUUAUGCUUUAAGCUGGUUUAGAUUUAAUUAAUUAUGUUUAGGUUGUUAGAUUAGAAUAAAUUAGCAAUUAUUAGUUAAUUGUGAUGUGAUUUAGAUAAAUUGAUUGUGCAAUUAGCAAGUAGACGUGGUCUACUAAUUAUUGGAAGUGCUUCGGGAAUUUUCCCGACCCUUAGUGGGCUCCAAUUAGGCUUUUCGGGCCUAAGUGGAUUUUUUUGUAUUUAAAUAUUAAUUUUCGGAAUUAAAUUAAAUAAUUAUUUAUUUUCCGAAAAUUCAACUGAGAUGGUCUGGAACCGGAAUUUUAUGCUGAUGAUCGUGGUGCAGUCCAUUUAUUUAAUUGAGCUUUAUAUUGUGCUAAAUUGAAUUUAUUGUAUUUAUUUAUUUAUUUUCCGAAAUUAAUUAUUUAAUUAUUUAUUUCUCGGAAAUUCAACUGGGAUGGCCAGUGACCGGAAUUUUAUGCUGAUGACCGUGGUGAAGUCCGUUUAUUUAAUUGGGCUUUAUUCUGUGCUAAAUUGGAUUUUUAAUAAUUAUUAAUUAAUUUUCGAAAUUAAUUAAUUAAUUAUUUAUUUUUCGGAAAUUAAGAUUUUGAUGGCCGAUGACCGAAAUUUCGUGCUGAUUGUCGUGGUGCAGACCGUUUAUUUAUUUGAGCUCUACGUUGUGUGGAAUUGAAUUUAUUGUGGAAUUGUAGGAAUUGUCCUAAAUUGUUUGUUAUUGAAUAUUUGAUUGAUGGAUGGCUGAGUAUGGGUAUAUAGCGCCAGUACGUUGAUGGGCUAUAUAGUAGGGAGAAUGGUGAGAGCUAACUGAGAACAUUAUUGGUUGAGACCAAUCAGGUACGAUAUUAUUGGACAUACGUGGUUCGGUGAUUGAGAGUAUCACUGGCGAAAACGGCGCCUUAAAGAACGCACGUAAAUGACUUAUAGACAAACGUGGUUCGGUGGUUAUGGGAAUAUCACUGGUGAAAACGGCGCCUUAAAGAACGCACGAUGUUGUCUAUAGCCGAUGUCACCUGGCGAAAACGGCGCCCUUGAAAGGACACGUGGUUCGGUGAUCAAGGUUAUCACUGGUGAAAACGGCGCCUUAAAGAACGCACGGUGUCGGUGAUCGGUAUGUCAUUGGCGAAAACGACGCCCGAGAAACACAUGUGAUUUGGUGAAUGAGUACACCACUGGGAAAUCGUGGUAUGAGUGGGAAUGACCUAGAGGUGGUCCGAAUGACAUGUAAUCGACUAGGUCGAUUGAUCAUUGUUUUGAUCUAAUGUUGUGAAUUGAUUGAUUGAAUGGGAAUGACCGUGAGUGGUCUUGUUGGCAUGUAAUCGACUAAGUCGAUUGAUCAUUGUUUUGAUCUGAUGUUGUGAAUUGAUUGAUUGAAUGGGAAUGACCGUGAGUGGUCUUAUUGGCUUGUAAUCGACUAGGUCGAUUUGAUCGAUGCUUCGAUCGGUGAUAUGAUUGCUUGGGUGCCUAUUAUGAAUUGUACUAACUUGCAGGUGGGAUCUGAUGCCAAGGUACGUCUUCUGCCCUGUGCGUGUAUAGGCAGCCUAUAGUAUAGUGGUUUACUAAUCGGGCUUAGUGGGGUAGAACUCGCUGAGACGUAGUCUCAUCCCAGUUUGGGGAAAAACAUUUCAGGACCCGAUAAGGAGCUGAGGAGGAGAAGUCUUGGAAGGAGAUCUUAGAGGUGAAACUUGAAGGGAAGGAUUUUGAAAGAAGAAGAUAAUACCGAGAUGAGCCUUGAGUAUGGCCUGGAUGGAUUGAGAUCCUAUCUUCUUUUGAGAUCUCCAUUUUGAUGUGAAUAGUUAUGAAGUGAUUUGUGUUUUGUAUAAAAGUUUGGUUAUAAAUUUCAAUAUGAAAAAUAUGGCCCUGCCUUUCUAUCCCAUUGAUUUAUUGUCUGGGGAUUUUAACUGCUUCCGCAUGUGCUUAAUAAAUGAAAGGGUCGACGAUACUAGUCCUGGGAUAUCGCAUUAUAAAAUCGACCAAAUUAGAAGGAUGUGUGCGUACCCGAGGAUCGGGGCGUGACACCAUCGUCGGCCGUUUUCCUCCCUUGUUUUCUCCUCGUUUCAGUUUCUGCUCCAGCUGACCUUUCGCCAAAGAUUCGAGUUAAAAGUCGACUUCUCGGAUGAAUCAGCAAACUCUCCACCCACGUCCGUGACGAGGACAUCCACCCCGUUCCAGAGCAUCCCGCCGCUUGCCGGAACGAUUCUCCAGCCGUCCCGAAAUCUUGAGAGAAGCUGCCGCUCGCCGGACCGUCUGGUUCCGCCCUGCUCCGCCUGUUUUGCGUUUUCUUGCUGUUUCGCCCCUUUCCGACCCUUCCUUUGCCCAUCCCAACCUCCUAUAAGAUCCCCAAGACCCCCGGGAGCUGCCGGUUGCCAACCACCCACUUGCCGGAGCUCCGAUCAGCCCGUUUUCACCAUUGAAGUUGCUGGUUUCUUCUCUGCAGUUCAACCCAGAUCAGAAGCAGAAAACCAGAAAGCUGUGAGGUCUUCGAGGCCCGUUUUAGGUGUCUUCCCGGCCUUGGUUGAUGUCGCCGCCUUGAGGUUUAUCGCCCGCCUUGGCAUCGCCUUCACCGUGGACUCGCCGAAACGUUAAUCCGGUGAGUUUAUCCUCUAAUUCUUGCUUAGUGAGUUAAUGACGCUUAAGGGGUGUUUAGAUUAUUCUAAUUAGGUUUAGGUGGUUAGAUUAGAUUAUUUUAAUGUAGAUUAGAUUAGUUGUAUGAUUAGCUUAAUGGAUGUUUAAUUAGGGCUAAUUGUAUGAUUAAAUUAGUGUAAUCUUGUUUAAGCCCCAAUUAAUUAUUUUUAAUUAAUUAAUUAUUUCGAAUUUAUAAAUAUUAUCUUAUUAAAUUAUAUUAUUAUAAUAUAAUAUUUAAUUAUUUAAUUUUCGGAAUUAAAUUUAAUUAUUUAAUAAUUUCGAAAAUUAUGCCGGGAUGGCCGGUCGUUAGAAUUUCGCGCUGAUCGCAGCAGUGUGGUCGGUUUGUGUUAAUUGUAUGUUUAAAUUGAGAAAUUGAGUGAUUGAUGAUUAUGGUUAAUUAUUCCAAAAGUGUGGAAUGGAGUGAUAUUGAUGAAGUUGUGGUAUUUAACUUGAAAAUACCUGGUGUUGGCUUUUAGCACCGUAAUUGGUUUGUAUGACCAGUUUGAAUCGAUUGGAUUGAUUGAUUGAUUGAAUUAAGGUAUGAGUUGGUUUAUUAUUGAAUUAUCAGCUUUGGCGAGCAAUUGGUUUAUACAUGUAUCAGCUUGUGUGAGCAUCAUUGUCAGCUUGUGUGAGCAUUCUAUGUUAGCUUAUGAGAGCAAUGAUCAUUUAUCAGCUUGUGAGAGCAACGAUUGUUUAUCAGCUUGUGAGAGCAACGAUCCAUAUAUCAGCUUGUGCGAGCUAUCAUCUAUGUAUAUAUUAGCUUGUGUGAGCUACCAUCUAUAUCAGCUUGUGAGAGCAUUGCAUCCAUUUUAGCUUGUGCGAGCCGUAAUUGUAUUGAUGGAUGAAUAGAUGGUAUGGUUUAAUAGAUGAUAUGAAUUGAUAGAUGUGUGGAUCGUAUGAUAUCAAUUGGAUAUACUGAAUUGAUAGACCGAUGGGUAUGUCAGUAGUUUCAGCUUGUGCGAGUAUUGUUGAAUAUGAAUUGUACUGACGUGCAGGAAAGAGACUGAGGCGAGAUAAGCCUCUAUCCUAUUCGUGUGGCUAGAGCGCCUUGAGGCGUAUUUUCUUCCUAAUUGAGUUUUAGAGGGUAGGACUCGCUGAGACGUAGUCUCAUCUCGGUUGUGGGAUAAUAGUUCAGGUCCCUAGAUGACGGUCGUGGAGGACCGGAAGUCCUGGAGUUCGGAAGGUGGACGUUGAAGAAUCGGCGAAUGUGUCUGACAAGUUGGUCAUAGGACAGUUCCCUAGUUGUUGAGCCUAUCUAUUUUGUAGACAAUCCGGUGUUGUAUAUAAACCUAUGUGUUUAUAAGAAAGCUUGUUUGGUUGUGAUUGAUUGCCUGCUUUUUCUAUCCCAAGUUAAAUGUUGUCAG
rnacentral:lncRNA from 1 species